rnacentral:rRNA from 1 species
CGCCUGGGGAGUACGGCCGCAAGGUUAAAACUCAAAUGAAUUGACGGGGGCCCGCACAAGCGGUGGAGCAUGUGGUUUAAUUCGAUGCAACGCGAAGAACCUUACCUGGUCUUGACAUCCACGGAAGAAUUCAGAGAUGGAUUUGUGCCUUCGGGAACCGUGAGACAGGUGCUGCAUGGCUGUCGUCAGCUCGUGUUGUGAAAUGUUGGGUUAAGUCCCGCAACGAGCGCAACCCUUAUCCUUUGUUGCCAGCGGUUAGGCCGGGAACUCAAAGGAGACUGCCAGU